UAUCCAGACUCCUACGGGAGGCAGCAGUGAGGAAUAUUGGUCAAUGGGCGAGAGCCUGAACCAGCCAAGUCGCGUGAGGGAAGACGGCCCUACGGGUUGUAAACCUCUUUUGUCAGGGAGCAAGAACGGAUACGUGUAUCCGAGCGAGAGUACCUGAAGAAAAAGCAUCGGCUAACUCCGUGCCAGCAGCCGCGGUAAUACGGAGGAUGCGAGCGUUAUCCGGUUUUAUUGGGUUUAAAGGGUGCGUAGGCGGAGCGUUAUGUCGGUGGUAAAUUGGGGGGGCACCCCCCCUCCCCGCCAUUGAAACUGGCGUUCUUGAGUGGAAGAGAAGUAUGCGGAAUGCGUGGUGUAGCGGUGAAAUGCAUAGAUAUCACGCAGACCCCCGAUUGCGAAGGCAGCAUGCCGGCUUCCGACUGACGCUGAAGCACGAAAGCGUGGGGAUCGAACAGGAUUAGAUACCCGAGUAUG
rnacentral:rRNA from 1 species